rnacentral:tRNA from 18 species
GCAGCGAAGUUAGAGGAAUUAACACCCGACUCAUAAUCGGAUAUUUCGACGGUUCGAAUCCGUCCGUUUGCU